GAUGAACGCUGGCGGCGUGUUUAACACAUGCAAGUCGAGCGAGAUGUUUCUCAGUAGAUUCUUCGGAUGAUACAGAGUUACGGAAGGCGGCGAACGGGUGAGUAACGCGUGAGGAACCUGCCUCUCAGUGGGGGACAACAGUUGGAAACGACUGCUAAUACCGCAUAAUGUAGCGAGACCGCAUGAUCUUGCUACCAAAGCUUUAUGUGCUGAGAGAUGGCCUCGCGUCUGAUUAGCUAGUUGGUGAGGUAACGGCCCACCAAGGCGACGAUCAGUAGCCGGUCUGAGAGGAUGAACGGCCACAUUGGGACUGAGAUACGGCCCAG
rnacentral:rRNA from 1 species